rnacentral:rRNA from 1 species
CCCCUAGAUGUUCUGGGCCGCACGCGCGCUAUACUGAACAGUUCAACAAGUCUUAACCUUGGCCGAUAGGUCUGGGUAAUCUUUGAACGCUGUUCGUGAUUGGGAUAGACCUUUGCAAUUAUGGGUCUUCAACGAGGAAUUCCUAGUAAACGCAAGUCAUCAGCUUGCAUUGAUUACGUCCCUGCCCUUUGUACACACCGCCCGUCGCACCUACCGAUUGAAUGGUCCGGUGAAAUCUCGGGACGGCGGCUUGGUCGCUUGCGUCCGACUGCUGAAACUUGAUUAAACCAUAUCAUUUAGAGGAAGGUGAAGUCGUAACA